GGAUGUGAGGGCCAUCUGGCUACGAUAUCUGUCACCCCAUUGAUCGCCAGGGUUGAUUCGGCUGAUCUGGCAGGCUAGGCCGGUGCCCCGUCCUCCCUCAACAUCCAUGUGCGGCCCUCCCGAAGCUGACGCUUGGUGGAAGAGGACAACCACCCCCAUCGAGGAAGACCUUUGCCCCCUGCUAGAACCACCAAACAAGCUCUCAGAUAAAACACACACACACAGGAUAAAAUGGAAAUCAAGCUUUGAGCCAGGGGUGUAGCUCAGAGGC
ensembl:misc_RNA 7SK 7SK RNA